rnacentral:rRNA from 1 species
UACGGAGGGUGCAAGCGUUGCUCGGAAUCACUGGGCGUAAAGCGUACGCAGGCGGCGCGUUAAGUCGGGUGUGAAAGCCCGGGGCUCAACCCCGGAAUUGCAUUCGAUACUGGCGUGCUCGAGUGCGGGAGAGGGAAGCGGAAUUCCUGGUGUAGAGGUGAAAUUCGUAGAUAUCAGGAGGAACACCAGUGGCGAAAGCGGCUUCCUGGCCCGAUACUGACGCUCAUGUACGAAAGCGUGGGGAGCAAACAGG